rnacentral:rRNA from 1 species
AAAUUGAAGAGUUUGAUCAUGGCUCAGAUUGAACGCUGGCGGCAGGCCUAACACAUGCAAGUCGAGCGGAAACGAGUUAUCUGAACCUUCGGGGAACGAUAACGGCGUCGAGCGGCGGACGGGUGAGUAAUGCCUAGGAAAUUGCCCUGAUGUGGGGGAUAACCAUUGGAAACGAUGGCUAAUACCGCAUGAUGCCUACGGGCCAAAGAGGGGGACCUUCGGGCCUCUCGCGU